ensembl:lncRNA
GAACUCCUGUAUCUCUCUGUCUUAAUGAAGUUGUAAUCAUCACAAAUAUACACAGAUGUGUGCAUGCAGUGCACCCCUUUCCACUGCACUUUCAUUUAAUUCCCUUCCAUUUAUCUCUUUACUCCUAAAUGAGGAACAAAAGCAGCCUGUUGUUACUCCCUGUUUUCUCUUUUGGUCUUAAACUUGUUCAGAUUUCAGUUUUGUCUCUGAACUUCAGCACAAGAGCAGAUGGAAAGCCUAGAUGUAAGUUUCAUGUGAGCAGAGUGAUUCAUUCAUUCCAAGUUGAACAUUCACAUGGAAUUAAAUCACUUCCAUAGGUUGUUUUAAAACAGGGAAACACAUUGCUGUGUUUCAUCCUGAACAGGUGGAAUUUUCCUAGAGGAGCUGAGGCAGCACAGUGAGUCUUGGAAGGUUUCUGUUGCCCAAACAGAGCAGUGUGAGUGUGACAGCAAGUUUGACAUUCAUUACCUUUCUUGUUCUGUGGAGACACUGCAUGUGAUUACUCUCCUGCAGGCCAUCACAAGUUGUCAUUUCUGGUUGCUGUUGGCUUGGAUUUGCUGUGGUCCCACACACUGCUGCUUGCAAAGUCAUGAGCUGUGUUGUAAUGUCUGCAAGUGUGUGUCAUUCCUGCACAUGAAAGGACUGAGGACUGCAAAUUAAGGCUGUGUAGCUCUCUUUUUCUGCCUGGAAAAAGAGGUUUCUACAAAAUAUGAGAUUGUAACUCUUCCUACUGAGUAAAAAUUUGCCAAGUUCUUUUGGCCUGAAAAUAUUUAGGUAACAUCAUUCAUUAGCAGGACACUCAUUUCAGUCAAAGCCUAUUUUAACUUUUACAUAGCAAGUUACUCAAAUCUAUUAAUUUUCUACUCUGACCUGUUAUAAGCUGCUCUAGUUAAAAAAAAAAAAAAAUGUGCAGGGUGAUAGAAGUGAAGAAAGAGGCAUAAAGUGCAUUGGAAAACUCCCAAAUGUCCCCUGCAAAUGGACCCUAUUCAGAAUCAGUAAGCGUGUGAUGAGUGAAGUGGUUUUGAAUAUCGCCUUUAGAUUCCAUGCUGUUACAAGGCCAGCCCCGAACAUGGCAACUCUUAUUUCCACACACAGUACCUCUUCACUCUCAAUUUAACCCAAAAAUCUGAUGAACCCAUUACUCCAUACUUGAUUUCAUGGAACAAGGAGUAGAUAUAGUUACAAAUGAUCAAUCACAAGCCGUGAACCAAAGCAGCAAGGCAUUAACAAUUCACACCAUUUCGGUCCACUUGCUCAAGCAGAAGAUGUGCCAGCAUAUUUAAUGCACAGCUACUUCGUUCAGUCCAGGAAAGACAUGACUCAUGCUCAUUUUAGGAACUGAGGAGACUUGGUAGGUUUUCAUACCUACUAACCACCCAGGGUUAGAGUUUGCAUUUCUAACCAAUUAACACAACCAGGUGAUUAGUAAAGGGCAUGGCUGUGGACGAGGCUUUAAAUUCGAUUUUGCUCAGGUAAAAAAAAAAACUACACAGAAAGAUGACCAGAGAAGUGGUUCCCACAAUAAAAGCCAAGUUGUGUUGUAGGAAUUUGUAGUGUACAAUCAACAUCUUGUUCAGCAGAAUUGUAACACUGCAGACCCCACAGGCAUAUGCCGUCAAUUUAAUGGGAUCACUGGGAAAGCAAAGCAGCUGUGAAAGAUUGCUUUAAGUACAGCAAUCGUGUACUUGUCAUUCUGCUCAAUGGUGGAAAAAUCCAAAUUCGGAUAGGCAUCAGUAUUUAAGAAAAUGACUGCUAAAGCAUCUCUCAUAAGUACCUUGGGGACAAUAGGAUUUGACAUAUAGCAUAUAAACAAAAGUACACAGCAGCUGUUAGAUUAGUUUUUGUUUGAGUAAAAACACUCCGAUGCAAUUUAAGCAACAGAGGAAAAUGCAUGGUCUCCAUAAUUCUAUUUCCCUAUGCAAAUUACAGUUUGGACAGUGUGUGCCAUUUGCCCUGGACAAGGAACUGCUAAAAAUCUGAAGUUGCUAUGUAUUGCUAAAAAUCAUGGUUGCUAAAAAUUAGAAACGUGAAGCACUGCGAGCACCAACUCAAUCUUAUGCCUUUAGUGAUAUAUAUAUAUAUAUAAGUAGAUAUAUAUGUACUUAAAUUGAAGUACCAAAGUACCUUCAGGAAAAAAAGACUUGUCACUAAAAAGUAUAAAAAGAAUUUCUAAUAUUUUGGUCAAAUCGAAAGAUCUUUGUUUCCCCUAAUGGAAAUAAACGUUGAUGAUUUCUUUCUGGUUGUUCUGAUAUUGGUAUUUGCUUAAAAAAAAAAAAAAAA